rnacentral:rRNA from 1 species
GACGAACGCUGGCGGCGUGCUUAACACAUGCAAGUCGAGCGGUAAGGCCCUUUCGGGGGUACACGAGCGGCGAACGGGUGAGUAACACGUGGGUGACCUGCCCUCAGCUCUGGGAUAAGCCUGGGAAACCGGGUCUAAUACUGGAUAUGACUCCAUGACGCAUGUUGUGGGGUGAAAGCCUUGUGCGGCUGAGGGAUGGGGCCCCGCGGCCUAUCAGCUUGUUGGUGGGGUGA